GUACACUCCUGCGGGAGGCAGCAGUGGGGAAUUUUGGACAAUGGGCGAAAGCCUGAUCCAGCAAUGCCGCGUGCAGGAUGAAGGCCUUCGGGUUGUAAACUGCUUUUGUACGGAACGAAAAAGCUCCUUCUAAUACAGGGGGCCCAUGACGGUACCGUAAGAAUAAGCACCGGCUAACUACGUGCCAGCAGCCGCGGUAAUACGUAGGGUGCGAGCGUUAAUCGGAAUUACUGGGCGUAAAGCGUGCGCAGGCGGUUAUGUAAGACAGAUGUGAAAUCCCCGGGCUCAACCUGGGAACUGCUUUUGUGACUGCAUGGCUAGAGUACGGUAGAGGGGGAUGGAAUUCCGCGUGUAGCAGUGAAAUGCGUAGAUAUGCGGAGGAACACCGAUGGCGAAGGCAAUCCCCUGGACCUGUACUGACGCUCAUGCACGAAAGCGUGGGGAGCAAACAGGAUUAGAUACCCCUGUAGUCCCA
rnacentral:rRNA from 1 species